UGAAUGGAGAACGAUAUGAUUGACAUCU
rnacentral:piRNA from 1 species